GUAAUAUCAACAUCCUUCUCUUCAACUAUAUGCUUCAGAUGAUCAACUGCUUCUUCAAAUGGGUU
rnacentral:lncRNA from 1 species